UCAUAUGCUUGUCUCAAAGACUAAGCCAUGCAUGUCUAAGUACACACUCCAGCACAGUGAAACUGCGAAUGGCUCAUUAGAACAGUUGUAAUUUACCAGGCGAUACUAUCCUACUUGGAUAACUGUGGCAAUUCUAGAGCUAAUACAUGCACGAUGCUCUGACCCUGGGCGUCUCUCUCGGGAGUCGCCCGUCGGGAAGGAGUGCAUUUAUCUGACUUAAGAACCAACCGGGGCGCAAGCCUCGUCCACUUAGGUGACUCUGGAUAACUUUGCCGAUCGCACGGUGGGCAACCACUGGCGACACGCCUGCUAAGCGUCUGCCCUAUCAACUUUCGUUGGUAGGCGAAAUGCCUACCACGGUGAUAACGGGUGACGGGGAAUCAGGGUUCGAUUCCGGAGAGGGAGCAUGCGAAACGGCUACCACAUCCAAGGAAGGCAGCAGGCGCGUAACUUACCCAAUCCCGACACGGGGAGGUAGUGACGAAAAAUAACAAUGCGGGACUCGCAAGAGGCUCCGUAAUUGGAAUGAUCGUACCUUAAAACCGUACGAAAGGAUCCAUUGGAGGGCAAGUCUGGUGCCAGCAGCCGCGGUAAUUCCAGCUCCAAUAGCUUAUAUUAAAGUUGUUGUGGUUAAAAAGCUCGUAGUUGGAUCUCGGGGCUGCCCGCGACCGUCUAGAGCCACCCGUGGGUGUCCCUCUCGUAGGGUGCCUGCGGUUCUUGGGCGCUAUCGACACCUGUGGGCAGCCUCCCUUCCUGUCCUCGCGGGGUCGCCUCUAGCGGGGCUUCUUCGCGUGGCUGGAGAGUUUACUUUGAAAAAAUUAGAGUGAUCAAAGCAGGCACUUACCUUCGCCUGGAUAGCUGUUCAUGGAAUAAUGGAAUAGGGCCCCGGAACCUAUUUCGUUGGUUACUCACCUGGGUUCACCUGGGAGCAAUGAUUAAGAGGAGCGGGAUGGGGGCAAUCGUACUGCGACGGGAGAGGUGAAAUUCUUGGAUCGUCGCAAGACGAACUGCAGCGAAAGCGUUUGCCAAGUACGUUUCCAUUAAUCAAGAACGAAAGUCAGAGGUUCGAAGACGAUUAGAUACCGUCGUAGUUCUGACCGUAAACUAUGCCGUUCGGCAGCCCGUCGCCGUCGACAUUGUCAUGUAAGGACCCGGCGGGAGGCCUGUGGGAAACCAGAAAGUUCCGGUUCCAGGGGAAGUAUGGUUGCAAAGCUGAAACUUAAAGGAAUUGACGGAAGGGCACCACCAGGAGUGGGACCUGCGGCUUAAUUUGACUCAACACGGGAAAACUCACUCGGUCCGGACACUGAGAGGAUUGACAGAUUAAUGCUCUUUCUUGAUUCAGUGGGUGGUGGUGCAUGGCCGUUCUUAGUUCGUGGAGCGAUCUGUCUGGUUAAUUCCGAUAACGAACGAGACUCUAGCCUACUAAUUAGUUCGCCGACCGGACACAACCCGGACCGGUGCACACCCGCGGGGCGACCCUCGACGUGGCCUUGGGACAAUCUCGGAAGGUUUCGGCCGGAAGGGGUAUAGCUUGGUGGCGGCGAGGCCCGCGGGUGAAAGCUUCUUAGAGGGACUGGUGGCUAUAAAGUCAUAGGAAGGAGAGCAAUAACAGGUCUGUGAUGCCCUUAGAUGUCCGAGGCCGCACGCGCGUCACAAUGGAAGAAUCAGCGAGGACACCAACGUGCUCCGAGAGGAGGGCGAACUCCCUUGAAACUCUUUCUCGGUUGGGAUUGGGGAUUGUAACGGUCCUCAUGAACGUGGAAUCCCUCGUAGGCGCCAGUCAUCAACUGGCGCCGAAUAAGUCCCUGCCCUUUGUACACACCGCCCGUCGCUACUACCGAUUGAAUGGUUUAGUGAGGCCUUUGGACUGGAACAGAGGGCGGCAGGUCUCUGUCACCUCGCAGUACGGAAAAUUGGUCGAACUUAAUCAUUUAGAGGAAGUAAAACUCGUAACAAGGUUUCC
rnacentral:rRNA from 1 species